UUGGAAACUCGUAUGAAAGGCUUAAUUAACCAAGUUAGUUUGUUGGUUUUUAAUAAUAAAUUAAAGAUAAAGUAAGAAUUCUUUAAUAAAUUAGGGGACGAUAAGACCCUAAAAGCUUUAUGAUUAGAAGGAGAUUAGUGUUAUUAUGACUGUUAAUUAGCUGGGGCAGCGGUUUUGUAUAGUGUAUGUGUAUUUAAAUAUAAAUAAAAGAUCCUUUAAAUAAAGAUUUUAUGUAGGAGUUACUUUAGGGAUAACAGUGCGAUAUAUUUGGGGAGACCGUAUCUAUAAAUAUGCUUGCAACCUCGAUGUUGAAUUAGAAUUUCUAUGCGGGCAGAAUAUGCACAAGAAAGUUUGUUCAACUUUUAAAUUUCUACAUGAUCUGAGUUCAAACCGG
rnacentral:rRNA from 1 species